rnacentral:rRNA from 1 species
GAUGAACGCUGGCGGCGUGCCUAAUACAUGCAAGUAGAACGCUGAAGGAAGGAGCUUGCUCUUUCCGGAUGAGUUGCGAACGGGUGAGUAACGCGUAGGUAACCUGCCUGGUAGCGGGGGAUAACUAUUGGAAACGAUAGCUAAUACCGCAUAACAGUAGAUGUUGCAUGAUAUCUACUUAAAAGGUGCAAUUGCACCACUACCAGAUGGACCUGCGUUGUAUUAGCUAGUUGGUGAGGUAACGGCUCACCAAGGCGACGAUACAUAGCCGACCUGAGAGGGUGAUCGGCCACACUGGGACUGAGACACGGCCCAGACUCCUACGGGAGGCAGCAGUAGGGAAUCUUCGGCAAUGGACGGAAGUCUGACCGAGCAACGCCGCGUGAGGGAAGAAGGGUUUCGGAUCGUAAAGCUCUGUUGUAAGAGAAGAACGAGUGUGAGAGUGGAAAGUUCACACUGUGACGGUAUCUUACCAGAAAGGGACGGCUAACUACGUG